rnacentral:rRNA from 1 species
CAGUCGCCGCGGUAAUACGAAGGGUGCAAGCGUUAAUCGGAAUUACUGGGCGUAAAGCGUGCGUAGGCGGUGAGUUAAGUCUGUUGUGAAAUCCCCGGGCUCAACCUGGGAAUGGCAAUGGAUACUGGCAAGUUAGAGCGUGUCAGAGGAUGGUGGAAUUCCCGGUGUAGCGGUGAAAUGCGUAGAGAUCGGGAGGAACAUCAGUGGCGAAGGCGGCCAUCUGGGACAACACUGACGCUGAGGCACGAAAGCGUGGGGAGCAAACAGGAUUAGAUACCCCCGUAGUCCCUGUCUCUUAUAA